UCCCAGAGAACCAGCUAAACUCAGUUCUU
rnacentral:piRNA from 1 species